rnacentral:lncRNA from 1 species
CCUGUGACAAGGACAAGCUUGCAUCAUGUGACACUCACCACGCAAGUCUGGGGUGCCUAAGCAGGGCAUUCCCUGUGCAGCAGGACGAGCCUAGGCCAUGCUUUUAGAUGCAUUUGGAUCAGGUCUGUACCAAAAUGUUAUGAAGGUCUCCGAACUUGCUGACAUAUCUGAUCUCUGACCAGCAGUAGACAGGUUCUGCUUGGCCUUGGUCUCUGGAUGGGGGACGACAGUUUGAAAAAUGACGUUCAAGGCUCCUUACUAUUGUCUAGGUUUUGGUUGCUAUAGCAACUAUCUCAGCCACAUCCUGUCGCUAUGCCUUGCUCUCCACCUGCGCUCACCUCGUGCUGAUGACAGCCAUCCUCUGAGUACCCACGAUGCCGUGAUGUGCUAGAUGUCCCAUUUCCACCGAGCAAGAAGGCCAUAAGGAGGGCGGUGUGGCUGUGUGUCCCCGGGCUGCUUCUACCUUCUUAGCAUCUCAGCAAGACCAAGCGAUGGCUGCUGGGUUCCAGCCCUCGGGCCUUCGUACCCAGGGUCUACGUAGAAAGAAGAAGACAAAAAGUGUCGGCAGGAGAACCCAGAAGCACCUGGCCGAGGAAACAAUUAACAUCUGGACUCUCCCACAACCAGGAGGAGCCACGAUGGGGCAGGUCCUCUCCAGCCUUGGAGGAGGGGCACACACGGUUCAGUACAGGUGAGGGACUGACGAGGCCCCAUUUGUCCACUAAGGAAUCCCAGUUCAGGGACCCGGCUUGCGGUCACCAGGCUGGCACAGCGGUGGUCCCCACAGCACGGGGGAAAAGAGUGUUGUAAGAGAAAGGGGCACUUUCCGCCUGCACCCUCAAAGUGCAGCUCUUCAUUCUGUCAGGAGCGCUCUGGAAUGUCUUGGGCACUCCCCUGGUCCGUGGCCGUGUCAGUAUCUGGUGGUGGCUGCUGUAACAUGAUUGCAGUCUGGAUACCUUACACCAAACGCUUACUCUCCAGAGUUCCGGAGGCC